rnacentral:rRNA from 1 species
GUAAUGCAUAGGAAUCUACCUAGUAGUAUGGGAUAGCCACUAGAAAUGGUGGGUAAUACUGUAUAAUCCCUGCGGGGGAAAGAUUUAUCGCUAUUAGAUGAGCCUAUGUUAGAUUAGCUAGUUGGUAGGGUAAAGGCCUACCAAGGCGAUGAUCUAUAGCUGGUCUGAGAGGAUGAUCAGCCACACUGGAACUGAGAUACGGUCCAGACUCCUACGGGAGGCAGCAGUGGGGAAUAUUGGACAAUGGGCGCAAGCCUGAUCCAGCUAUGCCGCGUGAGUGAGGAAGGCCUUAGGGUUGUAAAACUCUUUCAGUAGGGAAGAUAAUGACGGUACCUACAGAAGAAGUCCCGGCAAACUCCGUGCCAGCAGCCGCGGUAAUACGGAGGGGGCAAGCGUUGUUCGGAAUUAUUGGGCGUAAAGGGCAUGUAGGCGGUUCGGUAAGUUAAAGGUGAAAUGCCAGGGCUUAAC